AACUUAGGUCUUUUUUUUUUUUUUGUCAAAAAUUUCUUAGGAACUUUAUCUUAAAUGAGUUGCAAUUUUAUGUUCUACAGUUUCAACACCUGCAUAAAGAUUGUUAUAGCCUGUUGCAAUGGAUUAAUUUUUUGGAGUCCUAAUGAGGCAAUUUAUAGGGGUUGUGCAAGCUUUGUAAGUUUUUGUGUUGAACAUUAUCAAAGUUGCUGUACCGGUACCUCAGAUAAUUUAAUCUUUCAAUCAACAUGCUCCAACACAUUCUUAAUGUAGUGUAGUGAGAGUACAGUAUUCUGUAAAAAGAAACAUUUUCAUAAGUAUUUCAAUUAAGUUUUAAAGUCAGACUUGAUGUUUUAAAAACAGUAUUGCUUACUGGUUUAACAUUUACUAUUCUUUAAAAUUCUUUACACAAAAAGUUUACGGGUACAAUUCUUCAAGUGGACUCAAAACUAAAUAGCCUACACAGUGGAUGCCAGCAGUCAUCAAUUCUACUACCGGUACCUGUAUUAUAGAAAAGGACCUCCUGCUCUUGUCAUAUGCUGUUAGUGGUUUGUGUAUUUAUAAUACAUACAUUUUAUUCAUCAGUUUAUAGUACUAGUAAUAUGAAAUGGCAUCUUGUCUAAAAAGCACUUAGUAUUACAAUUUUAUUACAGAAUUGUUUUAGGCAAAACAACUCUUAAAAUUUGCUCUUUAAAAAAUGACUUUAUAGUAGGCCUACUAAUGCUGCUGAAGACACCAUGUGGAGAAGUGUAAUCUAGAACAAAUGAACAUUCGAUAUGUUGUCAAGAAAAACAAUAUUGAGAGGAUCAACGUUUAAGUCGGACCCUAAGACUUUACAAUUAGCUCAAUGCUCUUUAAUUAUUUUUGAAUGGUACCUUGGAGUGUUUCAGCUUGCGCCAAUGUCUCAAGAACACAGUUGAAGUUGCCAAAAGCUUUCAAUGUUCUACAGUCUCGGUACCAUCUGUCUAAGCUAUUUGUCGCAAUGGAUUAAUUCUUCGGGGUGUAAAAAAAAAAGUUGUAAGUUUUCUGUGUUGUAAAAAAAAUGUGGAAUCUUAAAAAGUUAAGCCAAAUGCGGUCUUAUGUUUUUUCUUUUAUAGUUCAGUAUUUGAACAAGAAUAUAAAAAUAAUUCAGCUACUGCUAAUGUAUAGAAUUAAUUUUAUUUUGGUGUGUAGACUGCCAGUACGGUACCGUAUCCAGUAAAGUGUAGAAAGACAAAACUUGCUUCAGUGCAAGCUCACAAGGUCAAAUUUUAUAUACCGGGUACGGUACCGGUAUUAAAAAAAAAUAAUUGGGGAGUAUCGGGUUGAGAAAUGGAAUAGCAGUGUAUAUCUAGAGUUAUAAUAAUGCUCGUUUUUUUUCACUACGUGUAAUUCUACAGAAAAGUAAGGUAUUACGGUACAAUUACCCUCUUAUUUUGCUUAGUAAGAUACCCGGUAUUAAACAAAUUACAAAAUGCAUUACUUCUCGACAUUUUCAAAGGAGCUAAGGUCAUAAGUGUCCAGUAAAUGAAAAGAUUCUUCACAAUACAACUGCUGAGAAUCGUCAUUUAUGCGGUACCUGUUAUAAUAUAGAAUCUGCUAUAGUAGUGAGCUAUUUAUUUUUUUUUAAAUUUAUAAUACUUAAUGUUCAAUUUAU